AACGAACGCUGGCGGCAGGCUUAACACAUGCAAGUCGAACGCGUGUAGCAAUACACGAGUGGCGCACGGGUGAGUAACGCGUGGAUAUCUGCCUUUUGGUUCGGAAUAACUCCGGGAAACUGGAGCUAAUACCGGAUGGUUCCUACGGGAUAAAGAUUUAUCGCCAAAAGAUGAGUCCGCGUACGAUUAGCUAGUUGGUGAGGUAAUGGCUCACCAAGGCGACGAUCGUUAGCUGGUCUGAGAGGACGAUCAGCCACACUGGGACUGAGACACGGCCCAGACUCCUACGGGAGGCAGCAGUGGGGAAUAUUGGACAAUGGGGGCAACCCUGAUCCAGCCAUGCCGCGUGAGUGAUGAAGGCCUUCGGGUUGUAAAGCUCUUUUGGCGGGGACGAUGAUGACGGUACCCGCAGAAUAAGCCCCGGCUAACUUCGUGCCAGCAGCCGCGGUAAGACGAAGGGGGCUAGCGUUGUUCGGAAUUACUGGGCGUAAAGCGAGUGUAGGUGGUCGCCACAGUCAGGUGUGAAAGCCUUGAGCUCAACUCAAGAAAUGCACUUGAUACUGGGUGACUAGAGGACCGGAGAGGAUAGUGGAAUUCCCAGUGUAGUGGUGAAAUACGUAGAGAUUGGGAAGAACACCAGUGGCGAAGGCGGCUAUCUGGACGGUUUCUGACACUAAGACUCGAAAGCGUGGGGAGCAAACAGG
rnacentral:rRNA from 1 species